UACGGAGGGUGCAAGCGUUAUCCGGAUUCACUGGGUUUAAAGGGUGCGUAGGUGGGCAAGUAAGUCAGUGGUGAAAUCAUCCGGGCUUAACCCGGAAACUGCCCAUUGAUACUAUUGAUCUUGAAUUCUGUUGAGGUGGGCGGAAUAUGUCAUGUAGCGGUGAAAUGCAUAGAUAUGACAUAGAACACCAAUUGCGAAGGCAGCUCACUUAGCAGAUAUUGACGCUGAGGCACGAAAGCGUGGGGAUCAAACAGG
rnacentral:rRNA from 1 species